GGGUUGUGAGGUUAAGCGAACAAGCGUACACGGUGGAUGCCCUGGCAGUCAGAGGCGAUGAAGGACGUGCUAAUCUGCGAAAAGCGCCGGUAAGGUGAUAUGAACCGUUAUAACCGGCGAUGUCCGAAUGGGGAAACCCGGUGCACUUCGGUGCAUCAUCGUUAGCUGAAUACAUAGGCUAACGAGGCGAACCGGGGGAACUGAAACAUCUAAGUACCCCGAGGAAAAGAAAUCAACCGAGAUUCCCCCAGUAGCGGCGAGCGAACGGGGAACAGCCCAGAGCCUGAAUCAGCUUGUGUGUCAGUGGAACGGUCUGGAAAGGCCGGCGAUACAGGGUGACAGCCCCGUACACGAAGGCACACAGGCUGUGAGCUCGAUGAGUAGGGCGGGACACGUGAUAUCCUGUCUGAAGAUGGGGGGACCAUCCUCCAAGGCUAAAUACUCCUGACUGACCGAUAGUGAACCAGUACCGUGAGGGAAAGGCGAAAAGAACCCCGGCGAGGGGAGUGAAACAGAACCUGAAACCGUGUACGUACAAGCAGUGGGAGCCUUCGUAAGAGGGUGACUGCGUACCUUUUGUAUAAUGGGUCAGCGACUUAUAUUCUGUAGCAAGGUUAACCGUAUAGGGGAGCCGAAGGGAAACCGAGUCUUAACCGGGCGUUAAGUUGCAGGGUAUAGACCCGAAACCCGGUGAUCUAGCCAUGGGCAGGUUGAAGGUUGGGUAACACUAACUGGAGGACCGAACCGACUAAUGUUGAAAAAUUAGCGGAUGACCUGUGGCUGGGGGUGAAAGGCCAAUCAAACCGGGAGAUAGCUGGUUCUCCCCGAAAGCUAUUUAGGUAGCGCCUCGUGAACUCAUCUCCGGGGGUAGAGCACUGUUUCGGCUAGGGGGCCAUCCCGGCUUACCAACCCGAUGCAAACUGCGAAUACCGGAGAAUGUUAUCACGGGAGACACACGGCGGGUGCUAACGUCCGUCGUGAAGAGGGAAACAACCCAGACCGCCAGCUAAGGUCCCAAAGUCAUGGUUAAGUGGGAAACGAUGUGGGAAGGCCCAGACAGCCAGGAUGUUGGCUUAGAAGCAGCCAUCAUUUAAAGAAAGCGUAAUAGCUCACUGGUCGAGUCGGCCUGCGCGGAAGAUGUAACGGGGCUAAACCAUGCACCGAAGCUGCGGCAGCGACGCUUAUGCGUUGUUGGGUAGGGGAGCGUUCUGUAAGCCUGUGAAGGUGUGCUGUGAGGCAUGCUGGAGGUAUCAGAAGUGCGAAUGCUGACAUAAGUAACGAUAAAGCGGGUGAAAAGCCCGCUCGCCGGAAGACCAAGGGUUCCUGUCCAACGUUAAUCGGGGCAGGGUGAGUCGACCCCUAAGGCGAGGCCGAAAGGCGUAGUCGAUGGGAAACAGGUUAAUAUUCCUGUACUUGGUGUUACUGCGAAGGGGGGACGGAGAAGGCUAUGUCGGCCGGGCGACGGUUGUCCCGGUUUAAGCGUGUAGGCUGACUUUCCAGGCAAAUCCGGAAAGUUAAGGCUGAGGCGUGAUGACGAGGCACCACGGUGCUGAAGUGACAAAUGCCCUGCUUCCAGGAAAAGCCUCUAAGCAUCAGGUAACAUCAAAUCGUACCCCAAACCGACACAGGUGGUCAGGUAGAGAAUACCAAGGCGCUUGAGAGAACUCGGGUGAAGGAACUAGGCAAAAUGGUGCCGUAACUUCGGGAGAAGGCACGCUGACAUGUAGGUGAAGCCCCUGCGGGUGGAGCUGAAGUCAGUCGAAGAUACCAGCUGGCUGCAACUGUUUAUUAAAAACACAGCACUGUGCAAACACGAAAGUGGACGUAUACGGUGUGACGCCUGCCCGGUGCCGGAAGGUUAAUUGAUGGGGUUAUCGCAAGAGAAGCUCCUGAUCGAAGCCCCGGUAAACGGCGGCCGUAACUAUAACGGUCCUAAGGUAGCGAAAUUCCUUGUCGGGUAAGUUCCGACCUGCACGAAUGGCGUAAUGAUGGCCAGGCUGUCUCCACCCGAGACUCAGUGAAAUUGAACUCGCUGUGAAGAUGCAGUGUACCCGCGGCAAGACGGAAAGACCCCGUGAACCUUUACUACAGCUUGACACUGAACAUUGAGCCUUGAUGUGUAGGAUAGGUGGGAGGCUUUGAAGCGUGGACGCCAGUCUGCGUGGAGCCGACCUUGAAAUACCACCCUUUAAUGUUUGAUGUUCUAACCUGGCGCCGUAAUCCGGCGUGGGGACAGUGUCUGGUGGGUAGUUUGACUGGGGCGGUCUCCUCCCAAAGUGUAACGGAGGAGCACGAAGGUCAGCUAAUCCUGGUCGGACAUCAGGAGGUUAGUGCAAUGGCAUAAGCUGGCUUGACUGCGAGAGUGACGGCUCGAGCAGGUGCGAAAGCAGGUCAUAGUGAUCCGGUGGUUCUGUAUGGAAGGGCCAUCGCUCAACGGAUAAAAGGUACUCCGGGGAUAACAGGCUGAUACCGCCCAAGAGUUCAUAUCGACGGCGGUGUUUGGCACCUCGAUGUCGGCUCAUCACAUCCUGGGGCUGAAGUAGGUCCCAAGGGUAUGGCUGUUCGCCAUUUAAAGUGGUACGCGAGCUGGGUUUAGAACGUCGUGAGACAGUUCGGUCCCUAUCUGCCGUGGGCGCUGGAGAAUUGAGGGGGGCUGCUCCCAGUACGAGAGGACCGGAGUGGACGCAUCACUGGUGUUCGGGUUGUCAUGCCAAUGGCACUGCCCGGUAGCUAAAUGCGGAAGAGAUAAGUGCUGAAAGCAUCUAAGCACGAAACUUGCCCCGAGAUGAGUUCUCCCUGAGACUAUAAGUCUCCUGAAGGAACGUUGAAGACGACGACGUUGAUAGGCCGGGUGUGUAAGCGCAGCGAUGCGUUGAGCUAACCGGUACUAAUGAACCGUGAGGCUUAACCUUACAACGCCAAAGAAGU
rnacentral:rRNA from 1 species